AUUUCCGUUGAUCCUGCGGAAGAUCGCUGCUAUUGGAAUUCGAUUUAGACAUGCAAGUCCUGGGAUCUCGCAAGAGAUACCGGCGAAAGGCUCAGUAACACGUCGAUAAUCUAACUUAUGGUUCAGGAUAACAUCGGGAAACUGAUGCUAAUACUGGAUAUGGGAUUGAGGCUGGAACGCGCUUUCCCUCAAAAGCAAUGCCAUAAGAUGAGUCGGCGGCUGAUUAGGUUGUUGGUGAGGUAAUGGCUCACCAAGCCGAAGAUCAGUAGGGGGAGUGAGAGCUCUAGCCCCGAGAAGGACACUGAGAAAAGGGUCCUAGUCCUAAGGGAUGCAGCAGUCGCGAAACCUUUACAAUGCACGCAAGUGUGAUAAGGGAAUUCCAAGUGCUUUACCUUCGGGUAAGGCUUUUGCCAAGUCAAAACAGCUUGGCGAAUAAGUGGUGGGCAAGACCGGUGCCAGCCGCCGCGGUAACCCCGGCGCCACAAGUGGGGAUCAUAUUUAUUUGGUCUAAAGCACCUGUAGCCGGUUUAGAAACUCUCUUGUGAAAUCGUUGCGCUCAACGUAACGGAUUGCGAGAGAAACUUCUGAACUCGGGAUUGGGAGAGGAGAAGGGUAUUCUAGGGGGAGCGGUAAAAUGUGAUAAUCCCUAGAAGACCACCAAUGGCGAAGGCACUUCUCUAGAACAAGUCCGACGGUGARGGRUGAAGGCUAGGGGAGCGAUCCGGAUUAGAUACCCGAGUAGUCCUAGCAGUAAACGCUGUGAGCUAKGUGUUGCAUAUUCUUMGUGAAURUGCAGUGYCGAAGYGAAGRCRUUAAGCUCACCACCUGGGRAGUACGGUCGCAAGACUGAAACUUAAAGGAAUUGGCGGGGGMGCACUACAAGGGGUGVAGYGUGCGGUUCAAUUGGAUUCUACRCCGGRAAUCUYACCAGGAGCGACGGCAGGAUGAAGGUCAGAUUAAAGGUUUUACCUAACRAGCCGAGAGAUAGUGCAUGGCCGUCGUCAGUUCGUGCUGUGAAGUGUCCUGYUAAGUCAGGCAACGAACAAGACCUGCACUCACAAUUGCUAAUGUCUCCUUUUGGAGGAAUAAGCACAAUGUGAGGACUGCCCGGGAAACUGGGAGGAAGGUGCAGGCAACGAUAGGUCUGUAUGCUUCGAAUCUUCUGGGCUACACGCGCGCGACAAUGGUAGRGACAAUGGGAUGCAACUCCGAAAGGAGAAGCCWAAYCCYCGAAACYCUAUCUYAGUYCAGAUUGAGGGUUGUAACUCACCCUCAUGACGCUGGAAUCCCUAGUAAUCGCGUUUCAACAUGACGCGGUGAAUAUGUCCCUGUGCCUUGCACACACCGCCCGUCAAGCCAACCGAGCAGGGUUUAGAUGAGAAUUAAUUUUUUGGUUAAUUCGAAUCUAGAUUUAGUAAGGUGGGCUAAGUCGUCACAAGGUAACCGUAGGGGAACCUGCGGUUGGAUCACCUCCU
rfam:Archaeon GW2011_AR20 chromosome, complete genome.